CUGAAACGUAAGAUGAGAUGCAUCCGAGUUAUGGAAGUUCCUUAUGUGAUUGGAGACAGGAGUGGAAAUGUUUAGGUUUGAGACUGAAUUCACAUGUUGUAGGAUGUACACCAUCUGUAACAAAAGCAAAUAGAGAGUACACCAAAUAUUUUACAAUAAACUCCGAUAGAGGUGCAUCUUGGAUACAUGUGUUCUUCAAUAACAG